rnacentral:lncRNA from 10 species
UACUUAUCAGCCUCAACACGCUUUCCGCCGAGCUCUGGAAACCUUCCCUUUCAACAAAGAGCUCCUGCAGUUACUAUCAGUCAGUCGGAGUUUGCACAGGAGGGAAACCCGUUUACAGCCUCAGAGGUGAUGGGAGACUAAUGAUGCACCUAAGUUAAUUCACUCGACUCUGGGACUAUGAGGCAGUUCAUCCACACGCUCCAAACUCCAGCUUAUUGUAGGAGACCAGUGCCUCGAUCUCAUGAGGUCAUCUCGACGCCUCAGCUGUAACCCUUGGAGAACCUGUGGUCUCUGCUCCUCUGCCUGCUGACAUGAUCAUCCCAGGUGCAAAACAGGUGAGGAACUUGGGGUGUGCAAAUGUGGGUCAAAUGAUGGAAGUGACAACCGAUGAAGAUCAGGGGAACUGGCAGGAGCAAAGGUAGAAAGACCCUACCAAUGAGAACAGAGAUGGGCUUCUUGCUAUCAGUUAGCUUCUGCUUCUGGGUCCCAGAAAGGGCUUCAGCUGGGGGGGUCUGCUAGUGGCAAGAGCCUGUCUGGAUGGCCAAAUCUCAAACUGAGAGAAAAUGGGGACAGACCCUCUUACAGCUGGUUAAAGUACGCUCUUGUCUCCAUAUAUAUGCAUGUGAAUUUGAUGUUUCAGCCGUCAGUGUGCGAUCUCAAAUGCUGGUCAUGAAGGAGAAGGUUAAACUCAGGGAGCAAUGUUCUCUGCUGCCUACUGAGUUAAGCUUGCCUAGAGCUAACGGAACACAGGCUGGCCACCAAACAGCCCGUUACCAGUUUCCGGAUCUGAGAGUUCUGGUUUCAUGUGGGAACGCACCAUGUUCUAAUCGCUCAUGGACUACACAGGCUGCGUGUGAAUACCUCGUUCCUCUCUAUUGAAAUCCCACCCUUCACAGGAAAGCACCAAAGCAACAGACUAUUAAAUUUAGUUAAAUAUUAGAUUUCUCAUUUAAUGAUUGCCCACACAACUGGUUUUAUCAGCAGAGAGCUGACUGUCCCACAGGGGACUUGAGUUAAGCCAUUUUAUUUGUUCCCAUAAUUGCAUUCAAAGAGGGCAGGAGCUCAGCAGAGAAAUAAGAAAAGAUUGGCAUAUUCCCUGAAGGACUUUUCUUUUGACUUCAGGGCAGUGGGGACCUCCAGUCUGGAGCACACAAAUGGCCACUCUUUAAUUAAAUGUGAGCCCCCUCUAAUAUUUGGUGGAAUUAGCUAUUAUCAGAUCUGGACACAGUGAGACCGCAGAGACUCAGGCCUGCUCAUGAGGCUGCUUCCCUCGCUGCGUCCCAUGGGCAGGUCGUGGUGUAGCUGUGCACUGUUGCAAGACAUGCUUCCAAGUGGCCCGGCAGGUUCAGGGGAUUGAUGGAAUCACCACUGUGCUAAAUUUUGGAAAAUUGGUGACCAGAUCCAAUGAACACCAAUAGGCAACGGAUCUAAAAGAGGAGAGAGCAGCCGCUUCCCUUUCUCACAUUUCUACAAGAAAUAAAACUGCAGGAUGGUGUGUGCACGCAGAGGCUUAGGCAGAAGUCUCUCCGGCAUCUCCCUGUUGCCUUGGCCUGACUUCCCCUGCCUGGGUUUUCUGUGCCUUUCUAGUCCAGGCCUCUCCUGCUGUAUUUCUGCUCACUCCUCACGUGCACCUUCCCCUGCGGCCAUCAGUAGGACCCCUCUCUGCCCCACCUCGCCCCCUCCCUGUGCUCUUGCAGCUGCCGUCCGCUUACCCCAGGGCUAGGCCAUUAGUCAUAUUCGAAGACCAGAUUCAGGCCCAGAGCCCGCAUGACUACUGUUUAAACUUACUCACCUUAACUGGAAAUCUCUUUUCUCUGAGCUCCAUUUUUGUUUUUUGAGACAGGGUCUUGCAGCCAGGUUGGAGUGCA